GGCAUCAGUUUUUACUCUUUGGUCAGCUAAUACUUACCAAGCAACAGCUCUCAACUGAAACUGUCUCUCAAGUUAUCACCAAAAAGAGUUAAUUCGAUGGUAUUCCAGACAGAACAAAAGAUUUGUCUGAUGGUUCUGCAUCUGCUCUGGAGAAUCAAUAUUCUCCAGCGAAGUCAUCGACUGCUGGAAUUUUGUGGAACCGGAACUAUCGGAUUACAGAAUUCUGCCUGGAUACUGGUCAUUGCAAGGUAUUCUUAGAGUCAGACGACGUGGGACGAACCCUUGACCUCUCGGUUCUUGGUUCAUAUGAAGAGCUAUACCUGAAAUUAGCCAACAUAUUUGGAGUAGAAAGGUCAGAGAUGUUAGGCCAUGUGUUGGACCAAGAUGCGACCGGUGCUUUCAAACAAAUUGGGGAUGAACCAUUCAGUGCUUUAUGAAGACAGCCAAAAGAUUGACAAUAAGGAUGGAUUCAGGCAACGAUACUGUUGGAAGGUCACAGCUCACGGUAAUUCAGACUACUGAAAAUGGACCAAAUAAGAGAGGUCCUUGAGCAUAUUUGCAUGAUUCUGAGCAGCCAUUGUCGAUGAUAAGCACGCGUGAGAUAUUUCCAGAAUCCAUAGAACAAUCUUGAAAACCUUUGUUUAGCUCCUCUUAGGGCAUGUCUGUAAUAUAUAGGUUUCUUGUCCGCGGGAUCGCAUUUAUGUUUCAAAAAAGA